rnacentral:rRNA from 1 species
UGGGGAAUAUUGGACAAUGGGCGAAAGCCUGAUCCAGCCAUGCCGCGUGUGUGAAGAAGGUCUUCAGAUUGUAAAGCACUUUAAGUUGGGAGGAAGGGCAGUAAGCGAAUACCUUGCUGCUUUGACGUUACCGACAGAAUAAGCACCGGCUAACUCUGUGCCAGCAGCCGCGGUAAUACAGAGGGUGCAAGCGUUAAUCGGAAUUACUGGGCGUAAAGCGCGCGUAGGUGGUUCGUUAAGUUGAAUGUGAAAGCCCCGGGCUCAACCUGGGAACUGCAUCCAAAACUGGCGAGCUAGAGUAGGGCAGAGGGUGGUGGAAUUUCCUGUGUAGCGGUGAAAUGCGUAGAUAUAGGAAGGAACACCAGUGGCGAAGGCGACCACCUGGGCUCAUACUGACACUGAGGUGCGAAAGCGUGGGGAGCAAACAGG